CUACGGGACGCAGCAGUGAGGAAUAUUGCACAAUGGAGGAAACUCUGAUGCAGCAACGCCGCGUGGAGGAUGACGCAUUUCGGUGUGUAAACUCCUUUUAUAUGUCAAGAAAAUGACGGUAGCAUAUGAAUAAGCACCGGCUAACUCCGUGCCAGCAGCCGCGGUAAUACGGAGGGUGCAAGCGUUACUCGGAAUCACUGGGCGUAAAGGACGCGUAGGCGGGAUAUCAAGUCAGGUGUGAAAUCCUACAGCUUAACUGUAGAACUGCACUUGAAACUGGUAACCUAGAGUAUGGGAGGGGGAGAUGGAAUUAGUGGUGUAGGGGUAAAAUCCGUAGAUAUCACUAGGAAUACCUAAAGCGAAGGCGAUCUCCUGGAACAUAACUGACGCUAAGGCGUGAAAGCGUGGGGAGCAAACAGGAUUAGAACCCGAGUAGUC
rnacentral:rRNA from 1 species